rnacentral:lncRNA from 1 species
UGAGGAUAGAACCCCAGACUACCUGAUUCCCAGCCUACCUGGAGCUCCACCUCUUGCCACUUCGUGGGGAAAACCCACAAUAAACCAGUGAGAGGAGUUCAAGCCAAGCUCUCCGGAUUGCAUCCAGCGAAGUCUAAACCGGGCAGCGCCAAAGAGCCAGAGGAUGCAAUAACCAGUGGGGCUUUUCUGGGCCGGUGGUUCCGGACGUGCUGUGUGGCCCUGAGGUGUCUCUGGUCAGAAGAGAACAAGCAGGGAGGGCUGUUUCCUGGGUUGGAGACAUGCAGCAGCCUGCAGACAGAGAGCUGUAAGGGCCCCAGCUGCUGAGAAAGGAAGGAGCCAAGAGAACCCAAUCGGACAGUGUCCCAGGUAAGCUUUCCUCCAGGAACUUGGCAUCCUGGAUCCAGGGGCAGGAGGCACAGUGGUCCAGCCUCCUCCACAUC